AUUCAAUUUAGGUCCCCGCGAUGUUGAAAUGGAAAACUUCAAAUGUCGUUGGAUGCAAUUGAUGGAGUUGGAGAUUUUUAAGGGGUGGUGUAGGGCUGUUAGAUUGAGCAAGCUGUUCGUGAGCAGCUCAUGUUCUGCUGAGUUUGAGCUGGAAAUGAGCUUGGUUUGCUUGAGUUCAACUCGAUUUAUUUUUGCAGGUUUAUUGGAAUUGGCGGGUCAGAAGGAGAUGCUCUGUUGUUUUUCAGGCAACCAUUGCAGCCAUUUCAUUAGAUCUGUUAUUUAGAGGGACUUGUUGAAGGUCUUUAAGUCUUGAUAUGCCAGUUAUCCAAGAUCCCUGCUGAUAUUUUUAUAUGGACAUAUUGAAAUGUCAGUCGAUAUGGUAAAUCCAAAAUUAAAGAAGCAAAAAGAUGACUGAAAAAUAUCAAUGAAUAUGAAUAUAUCAUGUCAACUGAUAUCUGAUAUUUUAUCAGUUUAUAUCACCAGGGGGAGAUUUUUAUGUCUAUACUGUAUGUAUAGAUGAUAUCCUAUUGAUUUCUUCUCACUUUGGAACAUCUAUUUAUUUUAAAAUAUAUGUUAAUUUGGAGUCUAUCACUUGCUCUCUUCUCUCUUCCAUCCAACAUGCAUUAGAUGUGUCUGGUUGCUAGUGCAUUGUAUCAACUAUCAAGGGGUGCCUGAUAUUUAUGCAGUCCAAGAUUUUGGCUGAGAUGAAAACCUUGCUUCCUUAAUCAUGCAUUGUCCAGCAACAUGGACAGAUCUGAGCCUUUUUUUAGGAAAAAAUCUCUCCUAUGCCGCUUAUGACAUAUUUGGUAUUGCUUUUUUAAAAAAAAAGUGGAUUUGUGAUUUUUGAAGCAAAAAAUCACUUCCUAAAGAAGAACAUAUUUGGGAACAUUAUAUGAAAAGUGCUUUCAUGAGAAGAUAAAGUCAAGAAAGAACAAAUAGAAGAAGCUAGAAAAAUGAACUUUUGGCUUCUCCUUCUUUUUUUAUAAAGUAGAAGCAACAUUGAAGACCAAGCACAUGCUUCAUGAGAUUUGUGGUAGAGACUGGAAGGUUUUAAAGGCUGCCUUCUUUCCUUAGGUCAUGUUUCUUUUAUUGUGUCUUUGUUAGCUUUUUAAAGAAGGGCUAGGCCAUUGAAACUAGUUUUAUUGUGUCUUUGUUAGCGCAUCAGAUUGAAACUAGUUUUAUUGCUAGUUUGGCUUGGUGCAAUGUCAAAGGUUGUUGGUUUAAAGGACCAACCCAUCAUGCCAUGCGGCUUAUUAGCAGUGCAGAGAAAACUUUUGAUAGAAUAAAUUACAGGUCUUGACCUUGGUAACAAAAAAGAAAAUGAAAAUGCUUUUGUGACUCAGUAAUGUAACUCAAAAAGUCACUUAACUGGUGUUUUUUGUUCUCAUUGCUCCCUUUGAAUUGGCAUCAUGUAGUGCUUACUGCAUAAUGAAGCAAAGUGAAUGGAGUGCACUGUUGGAUGUCAUUCGCCACAUGACAGUUGGUUCAAUUCAUAGUGUUCAUGAGUACAUGGACUGUAUUGAUAUCAUGGUUUGUAACUGUCAGUGUUGCCAGAGUUGAUACCGUGUUGGUUCGUUAAGGAAAUGUAUAUUUCAAACAUCCUUUAUUCUGGCGAGGCUUGUUAUGUCCUGUCAUCUUUUUCCACGUGUUGAAUUUUUCAAGCCAUGCUUUGGAUAUUGAAUCUUGGCUCUGUUUUUUUGAGGCCUGGCGAAACCAGUCUCCUCUUUCGUAAUGGUUUUGGUGUUCUUAUUUGUUCAGUUAACCUCUUUUUGGAUAACUUAUAUUUUCUUGACACAAAUGUGCAGGCCUGUAUUGAUAUCAUGGUUUGUAACUGUCAGUGUUGCCAGAGUUGAUACCAUGUUGGUUUGUUUAGGAUAUGUAUAUUUUCAAACAUCCUUUAUUCUGGCAAGGCUUGUUAUGGUAUGUAAUUUGCUAUAUCCUUUUUGUUAAGAAGGAUUGCCCCAAUAUUUCAGCCAGUGGUUCCCCCAAUAUUUCAGUAUCACAUUUCUUUCCUUCUGCUGCUUUAUUCAUUCAUUCAUGCAUUCAUUUUUGCUGCUUCCUUUUCUUAUCUGCGGUUAGAGGCUGUGAUGAUUUGCCUUGGUAUCUCCAUGAAGAUACUUCAAGUGCUGAAAUUGUAUGCUUGCAUCUGCAAGAGCACCUAGAUACAAAGGCUCUCCCUCUCUUCCCUUCCCUCUUCUCUCUAUUUACAUAUACAUAUAUACAUACAUACAUAUAUAUGGACAUACAUACCCACAUAAAUACAUACAUAUGUGUGUUUGUGUGUGUCAAUCCACAUAUGUUGAAGUAGCCAUGCACAUCUUGCAUGCUGACUACUAUUUUGCCUAAGUCUAACUGGUGCCACAAAUUUGGAUGGCUUGCUAUUUUUGCAGGCAACCAAGUGCUGCCUGUUAGACCGUCAAUGUAUGAAAAUAGGCAAAGCUGAGCCUCUGAUUUUUCCUAUGAUUGACACUCUGUUGUUAUAUUUUUGUUCUUUUCGUUUGCUUUUUCAGUCCUGUCAUCUUUUUCCACGUGUUGAAUUUCUCAAGCCAUGCUUUGGAUAUUGAAUCUUGGCUCUGUUUUUUUGAGGCCUGGCGAAACCAGUCUCCUCUUUCGUAAUGGUUUUGGUGUUCUUAUUUGUUCAGUUAACCUCUUUUUGGAUAACUUAUAUUUUCUUUACACAAAUGUGCAGAACUGUAUUGAUGUAUGGUUUGUAACUGUCAGUGUUGCCAGAGUUGAUACCAUGUUGGUUGGUUAAGGAUAUGUAUAUUUUCAAACAUCUUUUAUUCUGGCAAGGCUUGUUAUGGUAUGUAAUUUGCUAUUAUCCUUUUUGUUGAGAAGGAUUGCCCCAAUAUUUCAGCUAGGGCUGAGCAAAUAACCGAAAUCCGAAGAAAUCCACCCAAUCCAACCCAAUAAACAUUGGUUUUGGUCAGUAGAAAGAUAUUAAUCGGGUGGAAUCGGGUUGGAAUUUAUAAAAAAAUUGGUUAUUGACGGUCGGGAUCAAUUCUUACACUUUUAACCCGUAUGAAAUCGAACCUAACCUAACCGAUAUAGUAUUUCACAAACUCACUUUCAUUUUGGA